rnacentral:rRNA from 1 species
GACGAACGCUGGCGGCGUGCUUAACACAUGCAAGUCGAACGGAAAGGCCCUGCUUUUGUGGGGUGCUCGAGUGGCGAACGGGUGAGUAACACGUGAGUAACCUGCCCUUGACUUUGGGAUAACUUCAGGAAACUGGGGCUAAUACCGGAUAGGAGCUCCUGCUGCAUGGUGGGGGUUGGAAAGUUUCGGCGGUUGGGGAUGGACUCGCGGCUUAUCAGCUUGUUGGUGGGGUAGUGGCUUACCAAGGCUUUGACGGGUAGCCGGCCUGAGAGGGUGACCGGCCACAUUGGGACUGGGAUGCGGCCCAGACUCCUACGGGAGGAAGCAGUGGGGAAUAUUGCACAAUGGGCGGAAGCCUGAUGCAGCAACGCCGCGUGCGGGAUGACGGCCUUCGGGUUGAAAACCGCUUUCGCCUGGGACGAAGCGUGAGUGACGGUAAUGGGUAAAGAAGCACCGGCUAACGACG